UAAAAUUUUUCUUGGCAUAUUUUUUUAAAAUGUGGUAAAAAAAAAUCUCGUAUUCAAACCCACACUCUUUAAAACCCAUAAUAAAAAAAUUUUUUAUGUUAUAUACAUGAAAUUUUUUUUAUUUAAAAAUAAUAUAAUAAAAAGA
rnacentral:misc_RNA from 1 species